CUCGGCGCCAUUUUGUCUAGGCAGCAGUGGUGGUAGCUCUUUCCCAUUUUAAUCUUCGCGAGGAGGGGAGCGAAGUCUUUACCCGGUUGAUUCGUUCUCGUGGACUAGGCGUUCACUUUCCGUCCUGUUUGAGAGCACAACUCUCCCUGCCUACGAAGAGGGCGUUUCCACCCAAGCGUCGAAGCUGGGGAAUCCAAGAAGGCCCUGGGUCUCCGGAAUCAGGAAUUCUCCCCGCUUUGCCUUGAUAGUUGCUCGCCCAAGGUCACGAUGUGUAAUACCGUAAUUCGCCUUUAAAACGGAGAUGGUAUUUGACAGAAUGUGGUAAAUCCCACAGCCCUCCGAUAAGCAUCCUCCAAGAGUUUUACUGUAGAUUGGUGAACUUCAUUAAGUCAUUCAACAUUGUUGCAGAGAUUUAUCCUGAUGUUUUAUGGGGGAAAAUCAUCAAAAGCUUUUAGCCCUUAGAUCUGGAUAUAUUCUUACUGUUUCUUGGAAUGAGUUCUGUGGAAUUUAAAGAUUUUGCAAGAAAUAGCAAAUCACAAUGAAGUGUUAAAAGACGUGAACUGAAAAACAAGAUUCUGUUCCCUAAAAUGCCAGAACAACUGUGAGCUGGUUUUUUUUUUUUUUAAAUAUGUGAACAACAUGAAAAUGGAAGGUAAUAAGAACAGAAUUUGUGGUGGAACAUCAAAGCCAACAGAGAAUCACAUUACUAAUCUGUUGAAUGACCAGUCAUUGAAGAAAACCAUCAUGUUUUUUAAAGGAAGAAAUAGAUAAUCUUGUAUUUCCAGAUAAUUGGAAUGAAAAGCAAUCUUUCAGAGAAGUUCAAAGGCUUGAAGUGAAAGAAGGUAAAUUAAGAUGUAAAGAUUGUUUGACAGUUCGGCAUUUAGGAGUGACAGCAGGAAAGGCAUGUCCAUGUAUGCAAGGAAUGGAGUGUAUAGUUCCUAAAGGCAGUCAUAAAACUACUUAGGCGAGCUUCUUUGGGGGAAAAAAUUAGGAAACAGAUUGUUUCUAAAGCCCUUAACUAAAAGAUUUAUGAAAAGGUUCUUUCAAGUUUUUAGUACUAUUUACAAUGUACUAAAAAAUGUGAUAGACCUUUUACAUUGGGGGAACUAUAGAUUUGCAAGAAAAAAUAGAAUACAGGCAAUUGUUUACCUACAUAUAAUACAACAAGAAUAGACAGGUGCCGUAGUGGAUAGAACACUAUGCCUGCAGUCAAGAAGAAAAUCCCACCUCAGACACAACUAGCUAUAUGACCCCAGGCAAGUCACUUAGUUUCUGUCUCUUCAUCUGUAAAAUGAGGAUAAUGAUCUCUACCUCCAAGGGUUGUUGUGAAAAUCAAAUAAGAAUAUAAAUGCUACUAUUCCUAUUAAUAGCAGAACAUUGCAAAAGAAAUUGAUAGAAAUAGGAAUAUUACAGGAAAAAUAUCAUAGUGGACAAGACAAAAUUUCAAGGCAAAACACUGAAGGGAUUUAUCUACAAGUGCUCAAUUACAGUUACAGCACAGGUAAUGUUAUUUAUUGCUUUUUUAAAAAUUGUAUUUUUAGUACAUACAUUAUUAUCUACUUUAAAUGAUUGUAGCUUGUGCUUAUGUACUUGAAAGUAAACUAAGUGUAUUUUGUUCUGAUGGUGCUAAUACAAUGUUGGGAAAUAAAAUAAGUUGAUCACCAACCUAAUAAAAAUCAAAUUUAUGGUUUUUUUUUUUAAAAUGGAAAUUAUUGUAACUGUAUGGGACCAAGAUGAUCAGCAUAUAGUUUACUAGCUAUUGCUACAUGGUGACACAGACUACAUUUUUUUUCCUGUUAUUUUAUUUUACAUUUUAUUUGGGGAGCAUUUCUAGUUUUUGUGGGGAAGACACUUCACCUGGAAGAAUAAUAUCCAGACUUAGGAAAGGGAAUAUUUCUUAGAAUAGUAAUGAUUCCUGUGACUGCAGAGUCAGUAUUUCAUCACAAAUUGAUCAACAGUGAGUGAGAUGCACCAGAUAAGUAAGGAGGGCAAAAGAGCAAUUUUACAGAAUGUGUAAUUUAAUAUAGCAAGAUUUCUGGCUGUUUGGACAAGAGGCUUUAGUUAGGGUAAUAAAUUAGCAUAAAUGAUUUUUAUAUGAACAGAGAAUCUUAAAUUGCCUGUAAAUUGUUUUACAAGUACUUAAAGCAUGGUCCCCAGUGAGGCCAAGAAAGUUUCCGGUUAAUUUCUUCUCCUAUUUAUCUUAUGACUUCAUUUCUUUUUUUUUUUUCAAAAUAACAAAAUUGUUUUAAACAAAACAUUUUAUUUAGCCUUGUGGGUUGGUUGAUAGUGGAGAAAAAUGCUCAGGAAAUAUACAAAUAUUUGCCAAAAAAUCAAUACUUUAAAAUUAAAAUUCAUUUUUAUUAAGGUAUUGGUAUUGAUAUUUGCUUUAAUAUUUAAAGUUGUCACCAAUAAACUAAUCUGUAUUUUUUCUUUAUUUAAAAAUGAUAGCGGGGCAGCUAGGUGGCGCAGUGGAUAGAGCACCGGCCCUGGAGUCAGGAGUACCUGAGUUCAAAUCUGGCCUCAGACACUUAACACUUACUAGCUGUGUGACCCUGGGCAAGUCACUUAGCCCCAAUUGCCUCACUAAAAAAAAAAAAAAAAAUGAUAGCUUCUUGCCCCUAGUCCAAAUAAAACAUUAUAGAGUACCGAAUGCAAUUCUAUGUAAUCUGUGAGAGUGCAAUAAUAGAUGAGUGUUGCAUUUUAAAUGAUGCUAAUGUGGUAACACGAUCAGUGGCUUUUGAAAUUUCAAUAUCUGCUUAUUUAUUAGUAACAUUUGACCCUAGGAAAUCUGAGGUUUGGUUGCCCUGUGAACCACAAGUUUCUUAAUGAUGGUUAAACUUCCUUAUGGAAUCAACAUAAUAAAAAUGUCAAGACUCAAUUCUCCUUUUCCUUACUCCUUUGCUUCUCCCUUGCCCUUUUAAUUUCCAGUUUGUCAAUAUCUAGUUUUAAAUAUUGAAGCCUGAGCCUGCUUUUAAUAUACAUUUCAUAAUAAAACAAUUAAAAACAAUCAUUGAUGGGUCAAUGCCACUUGUCUUCUUUUCUAAAUUUUUUUUCUCCCAUCCAACUGGUUCUUAAAAUGCCAAUAAUGCAUUUGUGACCAUCUUCAUAAAUGCAACCGGAAACUUUUAGGCCAAACUUGAGUGUGCAGAGAUAUUUUUUUAACCCCAAAUACAGUGAAAUUUCCUCUAUACAUAAAAAAAAAUCCUGCUAUAUUACAGCUUUCGACACAGACUACAUUUUACUUGAAUUUUUCUCCUAUUAUUCUGGUUUGGAAAAUAAAUCACUAACAUUAAUUUAUUGCAACAUCUUGCAGACGUUCUUGAGCAAUUUGUAUUACUUUCACCUGCAAUGUAGUUACAUUCAGAAAGUGCAAAAAUUAAUGUGCACCAUAAGCACUUGGUAAAAUGUAAAAAUUGGUACUGGAAAGCAUGAAUCUCAGGUUAAAGACUUAAGUCAGACAAGUUUUAAAGGCUUUUCAUUAAAAUAUUCAUUUUAAUUUCAUAAACAUAAUCUAAUGCUCUAAGGAAUGCUACUUGAAAAAUUUCAACAGAUGAGCAAUCUUUUACUGAACAGAAAUGAUGAAAGUAUUUUCCAUUGCUUCUGAUUUAUUAGAUCUACCUAGCCUCAUGAAAAACUUAAUUCAGCAUGAUGUGAAAAAAAAAGUGAAAUUCAAAAAUAGGAAAUUGAUUUUAACAGCUUUUAGAAUUUUGUAGAUACAGAAUUAGACAAUGUCCCAGUCCCUGCAACUAUACAAAAAGUUAAAAGAUAGUUCUAUUGUAGUCAGUUGUAAAAUUGAAAGAUUUUGUGAAUAUAAUUUGUGCAAGGGUGAUAAUUUUUUUAUUAUUAUUUUUUAAGGGUGAUACAUUAACAGUGAAUCAUGUCAGAUGCAUUGACACAUUUAGGGGGAAAGGAUUAAUA